rfam:Salmo salar isolate Sally breed double haploid chromosome ssa09, whole genome shotgun sequence.
AAAUCUCUCUACUGUAAGUCGCUCUGGAUAAGAGCAUCUGCUAAAUGACUAAAA